CUGCAUUCAGGUACUCCGGUGAAGGCUUCAAACAGCUGUGCUAGCUGAAAUGCUCUGCCCACGGGUCUUCGACCAUGGAUGGCUUGACAUAGCUCUUGGAACCACUGCUGGCUCCGUCACGGGGCGACUGGAACGGCGAUCCGGACCAACUGGAUCCUCGAGAGCCCGAAGACUUGGAAAUCAAGAGAAGAACAAGAGAAAUAAAUGGCAGGCAGCGGCAAGUGCACGUGCAGUGCUCUCUGCUGCUUCACCGAGCCAGGAAGCGGCGCUGUGCGCUACAUCUCGGAGGCAGCUGCUCGCCGACGUGUGCACCUUUUGCUCCAUUCUCAUUGUCACCUUCCAACAAAACUUACUGAGAAUGCUGCCAAACACACGAAAAAGGUUUGUAGGACCAAACUGUCAUUGAUUCUAGGGGCAUUUCCAUCAUUGUUGAUAUGAAACCAGCACUAGGUAUUAUGAACUGUUAAUGCUACCUUUUUUUUUUUUUUUCAUUCCCUUUCUCAAGUUUUCACUGUAAGGUGUGCUGUUCCUGUCUACACUUUUGGGACCUCAAGUGCCACAAUGCUGUUGGGUUUCGCUGGGGCUGUAGUCAUUUACCACUUACAAGGUGAAGUGCCAAUGCGGCGUACGUGAUGUCUAAAACUUUGGCAAUGGGACAAGUGCUGCAAGGUUACACCAUUUUGGUAGAAUGUCGCUUAGACAUUAGUGCUGCGAGUGCUCGGCGUAAGAAUGUAUGAAAGAGGCCUGUGCAGUGUUUGUGAUACCUUGUUGGAUCCGGUUAUUUAAAUAAAUUAAGCUUAGUCAUUAUUA
rnacentral:lncRNA from 1 species